rnacentral:rRNA from 1 species
GUCCAGACUCCUACGGGAGGCAGCAGUGGGGAAUAUUGCACAAUGGGGGGAACCCUGAUGCAGCGACGCCGCGUGGGUGAAGGAGCACCUCGGUGCGUAAAGCCCUAUCGGCAGGGAAGAAAAGCGAACAGGUUCGCCUGGACGGUACCUGACUAAGAAGCCCCGGCUAACUACGGGCCAGCAGCCGCGGGAAUACGUAGGGGGCAAGCGUUAUCCGGAUUCACUGGGUGUAAAGGGAGCGUAGACGGCGACGCAAGUCUGGAGUGAAAGCCCGGGGCCCAACCCCGGGACUGCUCUUGGAACUGCGUGGCUGGAGUGCAGGAGGGGCAGGCGGAAUUCCUGGUGUAGCGGUGAAAUGCGUAGAUAUCAGGAGGAACGCCGGUGGCGAAGGCGGCCUGCUGGACUGCAACUGACGUUGAGGCCCGAAAGCGUGGGGAGCAAACAGGAUUAGAUACCCGUGUAC